UCUCGGUGGCAACAACAAAGAUAUUCUCUUUCCCUUUCCUUUCCUUUCCUGCGAAAUAUCUUGCAGUUGGCAGUUCGCUAACCCUAUGGCCGCUUCCACGACACAAGCUCCAGCCUCCGGAACUGUGAAGUCGUAGAUAAUAUUGGUUGUGACGACCAUGGACGAACAAGUACCGAAUUUGAAUAUUUUCUAUGACGGAGACGAUGGUCGAGUGUCAGUUUGGGAGAUUGGGCUGCCGACCGCCGACGAUCUGAUGCCGCUCUCUCAGUCCUUGAUCUCCCCGGAGCUGGCCUUGGCGUUCUGCAUCUCGCCCAAGCCUCGCCGGAGCGCCAUGGACGUGAAUCCGGCUUCACAGGACACGCUCUCCAGUAUCCGAGCUCAUUCACAGGUGCUUUCCUCGAAUGGUUUUAACUUCGGGUCAUUCGACGACGAGAAGAUUAGAGACGAAUUGGCGCCAGAAGAGGAGGCGGUUGCUCUGACGACCGACGGAUCGGAUUUGCGGAAGCCGCUCCGGAGGUUUGACGGCGGUGGCGAAGAGACCGAGAACGGCACCAAAGAGCUGUCGACGUCGGCGAAGGCGUUGAAGCGGCCGCGGUUGGUGUGGACGCCGAAGCUUCACAAGCGGUUUGUGGACGUUGUUGCACAUUUAGGCACAAAUAACGCGGUGCCUAAGAAGAUCAUGCACUUGAUGAACGUCGAGGGCUUGACUCGCCAGAACGUGGCGGGUCAUCUGCAGAAGUACCGACUGUAUAUGAAGAGACAGGGCUUGUCGAACGACUCUUCAUCGCCGUCGGAUCACAUUUUCGCAUCGACGCCCCUGCAUGAUUCUUCUUAUAGAGUUCUAAUGCCUUACCCGCCGGCGGUGAUGGGCGUGCCACGUGGUCAUGGUCCUUAUCACGUGUUCGACUCUCAGCCGUACAGUAUGGGGCAGCAGAGGGACUAGCAGUACCACUGCACGAUAGUUAACAGGCUGCGAUUCAUAUAGCUUCUAAUCCAGUUUUCCAUGAACGCACCAAGCAUAUCGAAUUGGAUUGCCAUUUUGUUCGGGAUAAAUUGCAGGAGGGUCUGUUCAAGCUUUUACCUAUUCAAUCAGCUCAUCAGCUUGCAGAUCUCUUUACCAAGCCGUUACCAGCUUCUCAAUUGCAGUCUUUAUUAGCCAAGAUGGCUGUGCUUGAUGUUCACCGUCCAUCUUGAGGGGGAGUAUUAUAUGUGAUUGUAUUUUUCUCAUUUCCUUUGAGCUGUAUUUCAUUUUCUUUCAUUGAUGUAUUGUUAGUUAGUUGCUUUAUUAUCAGUGGCAUUUUUGUAAUUAGACCUAUAGAGUUUGGUUUACUAUUUAAGCCAAGAUCUAAAAUGAAUGGAAAGAUCGAUGAGGCAUUUACAUCUUCUUGUCUCAUAAUACUCACCCCUGUUCAGUGUCAACAAUUGAUGGGGAUACUCAGCUCACAUCUUUCUGAUGCUAAGUCCAGCUCAGAUGAUGCUUCCCUUGAUCAGAUGUCAGGUACUUGCUUUGCUUCUCUAUUUCAAUUAAUCCAGGGCUUAGUUACCCUAAGUAUUGGAUAAUAGACUCGGGGGCCACCAAUCAUAUAUGUUGCAAUCAGUCUUCUUUUCAAUAUAUGAGGACAGUUCAAAAUUCUUUUGUUACAUUGCCUGACCAUAGUCAGAUCACUGUUAAUUUCAUUGGAACUGUGAGGAUUAACUCUCAUCUUGUACUAGAGAAUGUCCUUUACAUACCUCAUUUCAAAUUCAACUUGAUAUUUGUGAGUGCCUUGACUGGGAAAAACAAUUUGUCUCUCAGUUUCUUUCAUGAUACCUGCAUUAUUCAGGAUAUCCACCACAUGAGGAUGAUUGGCAGGGGUAAUUUGCUUGAAGGGCUUUAUGUUUUGGAUGGAUUUUUACUGGAGCUUGGCAGCCUAAAUGUAGAUAAGGCUUGUGUUUCUGUAGCUAAUGUGAUAAGUAGCCUUACUUAGCACAGCAGGUUAGGCCAUCCUUCUUUUAAAAAGUUGAUACAUUUGAAGGAUUUGUUGAAUCUUACUCCCGACUAUAAGAAGACUGAUAUUCCAUGGUCAAUUUGUCCUUUAGCUAAACAAAGAUGUUUGUCUUUUCUUUCUAAUAAUCAUUUGUCUAAAUGUGCAUUUGAUCUUAUACAUUGUGACACUUGGGGUCCGUAUCAUAUUCCCACUUAUGCUAGGCAUCGAUAUUUCUUGACUUUGGUGGAUGAUUGUACAAGGUUUACUUGGGAACAUAAGUCUGAUGCUAGAUCUAUCAUCCCUAAGUGUUUCUCCCUUGUUGAGACUCAAUUCCAUAGUCAUUAAAGGGUUUCGGUCUGACAAUGCCCCUGAGUUGCUGUUUAAUCAUUUCUUUUCUUCGAAAGGUGUUGUUCAUCAAUUUUCAUGUGUUGAGAGGCCUGGACAUAAUUCAGUUGUUGAACGUAAGCAUCAGCACUUAAUGUGGCUAGGGCCUUGUAUUUUCAGUCUAGGGUGCCUAUAAAAUUCUGGGGAGAUUGUGUUCUUACUACCACAUUUUUGAUAAAUGGAACACCAGCCUCUAUUCUACAAAAUAAAUCUCUUUAUCAGAUCCUUGUGAAUUAUGGUUCUCUUGGAGUAUUUGGUAGCCUGUGCUUUGCUUCCACUUUGCCUUCCCAUAGGACCAAAUUUCACCCUAGAGCUAUAGCUUGUGUAUUUCUUGGCUACCCUCCAGGUAUUAAGGGCUACAAACUGUAUGACAUAGCCACUAAAGUCAUUUUUGUCUCGUGAUGUUGUAUUCCAUAAACACAUCUUUCCUUUUCAUUCUGUCACUUCUGAUAAUGAAGUGCUAGACCCUUGUCCUGAUCUUGUUUUGCCUAAGCCUGUCUCUGGCUUGUCUUGUUCCAUCACACCUUCCCCUGCUGCUCUUGUUUCUCCAGAUUUAGAUGAGGAUCAUAAUCUUCCUACUGAUUCUCAGCCUCCUAUUUCCUCUUUUCUUCCUGUCCGCAGGUCUGCUAGAACUUCAAAGCCUCCUUAUCUUAGAGACUUUCAUUGUAUUCUCUUGGCUAACAGACCUACUCCCUUACCUCAGUCCUUAUAUCCCUUACAGCAAUACCUUUCUUACAAUCGUCUUUCUCCUUCUCAUAAAUCCUUCCUCCUUACAGUAUCUUCCUCUUUUGAACCACAAUACUACCAUCAGGCUGUCAAAUAUUCUCAUUGGAGUGAUGCCAUGGCUGCUGAUUUAGAGGCUAUGCAGCAAAAUAACACUUGGUCCAUUGCCCCUCUUGCACAAGAUAAGCAUUCUAUUGGUUGUAAAUUGGUGUAUAAAAUCAAGUACAAGUCUGAUGGCACCAUAGAAAGGCACAAAGCCCGUUUAGUGGCCUAAGGUUAUACUCAACAAGAGGGCUUAGAUUUUCUUGAUACUUUUUCCCCAGUUGCCAAGCUGGUUACUGUUAAAGUACUCCUUGUCCUUGUUGCUAUUAACAAGUGGUCACUGGUCCAACUUGAUGUUAAUAAUGCUUUCCUUAAUGGUGAUCUUUUUGAGGAAGUGUAUAUGGAUCUUCCACUUGAUUAUCAACUUAAAAAUCAAGCUACUUCUAAGGGGGAGAGGUUAGUAUGUAAGCUCCACAAAUCCAUUUAUGGCUUGAAACAAGCCCCCUGGCAAUGGUUCUCUAAAUUCUCUAAUGUUCUUGUUCAAAAUGGUUUUCAUCAAUCUCGGUCGGAUUAUUCUUUGUUCACCAAGGGUACUGGUUCUUCAUUUGUGGCUCUUCUUGUUUACGUUGAUGAGAUCAUUAUCACUGUCCCUAACAUUCAUGUCAUAGAAUCUCUCAAGUUGUUCCUUCACAGCCAGUUUAAGCUUAAAGAUCUUGGCCGGUUAAGGUACUUUCUUGGCUUGGAAAUAGCUCAAUCUGAAACAGGUAUAUUUUUCUCCCAAAGGCACUACACUUUACAGCUUCUUGAGGAUACAGGAUUUUUGGCCUGUAAACCUGUCAAUUUACCUAUGAUUUCUAACUCCAAACUAUGUUCGUUUGAGGGGAGUUACUUGAGGAUCCUACUGUGUAUAGAAGACUCAUUGGCCGUCUCCUGUACCCGACCAUCUCUAGGCCAGAUAUCACAUUUUCUGUGCACAAGCUCAGCCAGUUCGUUUCUCAGCCUAGACAGCCCCACUUAGAUGCAGCUCAUCAUCUUCUUCAAUAUUUGAAGGUAUCUCUAGGUCAAGGGUUAUUCUUUUCAGCAUCCUCUUCUAUUCAACUUCGUGUCUUUUCUGAUGCUGAUUGGGGCUCCUAUCUAGAUUCAAGGAAAUCUGUUACAGGCUUUUGUAUCUUUUUGGGUGUCUCCUUGGUGUCCUGGAGAGCAAAGAAGCAGAACACUGUAUCUAGAUCCUCUGCUGAAGCAGAGUAUCGGGCCCUUGCUUCUACUGCCAGUGAGAUUAUGUGGAUCACUCAGCUUCUCUAGGAUUUUCAGGUCUCAUCUCCUACUUCUGCUCUACACUUUUGUGAUAAUCAGGUAGCUGUACACAUAGCUACUAAUCCGGUUUUUCAUGAGCAUACAGAGCAUAUCGAGCUUGAUUGUCAUUUUGUUCGGGACAAGCUUACUGAUGGUCUUCUUAAACUUCUCCCUAUUUGCAGCCAGCAUCUACUAGCUGAUGUAUUCACUAAGGCUCUCCCAGCUACUCGGUUGUUUCCAUUAUUAGCCAAGAUGGCCAUUUUUGAUAUACAGGCCCAUCUUGAGGGGGAGUAACAGGUGUUAUUGAUAUAUUUGAUUAUUGUUGUUUCGUAUUAUGUUGUGCUUUUUAUUGUACAGUUAGCUGGGUAUGAGGUUAGAUGGUUAUGUGGCUGCAAGUAACUAACGAUUGGCAGUUAGAAGAGUUAGAGCAGAGUAGAUGCAGAAUGUAUUUAAACUCUGCAAGCAGCUUAUUCUCAUUUGAAUAAACGAGCAAUGGGGGCUGGUACUGGACUUGAUGCUGUGGCAAUUGUGGUGAGUCACAACUGGUACUUCACUGGAUAUUUAAUUUACUGGGCUAGAUGCUAGAGCUUAAUAAUUUUCUUUGGAAACCUGUAUUGGUAGCUCCGUUCUAUUUAAUCCUCCUUAAGUGUGAAAACAAAUUUAUUCUUGACUUUAACUUGACUACUUGAAGUGAUUUGAGAGAACCGUUGUCUAGUUCCUCGGCAACUUUGCCGUUUGGAUCACGCUGAGCAAUACUAUUCAGGUGCAUAUAUAGUGGAUACUGAAUAUGCUCCUUUUGCUAGACCAUUGUUAAUUGGUUCUUCAUAUGGGUUUAUUAUUUCUGCUUUAAUGAUGCUUCAAUUUCCUUUUAAAAAUGCUUCAUGUUUAUGUUUUCACGACAGGGGCAUGAAGGUUUGGCAAAGCAGAAAAUGAGGCACUCCUAUAACGUUUAUUUUAAGAUCAAGUAUGAUUGGUGUCACUGGCAAUAAAUGGAGCCAAUUUGAAGUCUAUUCCAGUAUCAUUGAGGUUCCACACAAGCUCUCUCUCUCUCUCUGCAUAUUUUCUUGUUCAAUUGAAGUAGGAGACUCCUGUAUUCUGUCUGGUUCAGCCUUUUAGAGGAUGGCAAGCCAUUAAAUAUGUUCUUGCCCCGUUUGUGAUCGCUAAAUGGUGAUAUAGGAAGAAAGCAAAAGUAAUCAGCAAUUAUUUGGCAUGUGAGUGUUGGAUGUUGUUAUUGAUCCUAGGUUUUCUUUCUAUAUACGAGUAGUUUUUCCAUUUUCAACAACACUAAUGGCUAAGCAGUUUUUCUUCAUGUGUGUGUGCACGCAUGUGAUUGUCGUAUGCUACAAUUACUUCAACUACCUCUUCAAUGCUUGCUCCCCAUAUGAAGCUCUUUACCAUGUAUUCUUUCCAAUUGCAACAGAAUCGUAAAACAUGGUUCCUGGCAUAUCAUUUCUAUUCAUCAAAGUUACAUGCUUGACCUGCUUACAACCAUUAUGCAUGCUAGUCUUUUGAGUAUUAGCAUAUGCAGUGAAUUCUUUUUAAUUUUAAUUUUUACUAUUUUGGUCUCAGCAAUAAAGCUGGAGUCAGUCUUGAGCUUCCACUGUUAAAAGAUCGGUUCCUCAGUUCCAAAAGUGAAUUUAUUGAGUAAUCAUUGUUAGUCUUGAGGGGUUUGGGUAAGUUAGGUUCUCCCUCUCUGCAUGCAUAUAUAUAUAUAUAUGUACAUGUUUAUAUGCGUCAGUGUACCCACGCAUGUAUAAGCUUACAACUUUUAGGGUUGGGAUUAGAUGUUUUGCAAGAUUGAUGAAGAUGAUUACAGCUUUUUAUUUUUUUUUUUUCCUAAUAAAUAAUGAUUGUACUUGGUGCGAGGAUAUUCCACUAGCAAUCAAAGAAAACUACCCAGUUCGGUGUUAUGAGGGCUAACAUUACUGUUUGUAUGGAUUAUUUUGGGAACUAAUUGAGCCUGGGCGCUGUGAGAUAUCUGAGGUGCUUCAUAAAUGGGAUAUAAAUUUGCUGGCAAUACUUGUUUCUUGUAUUAGCCUUAUGAUGCCUGCCCGCACGUACACAAGAAUUAAUUAGAGAUUUGAACUGUUCAUCGAUGUUCCUAUGGCUGUUUUUUGUGUUUCCCUUUCCCCUUGAAGAAGAUGUUCAUAAGGUAGAACCCCUGAUAUAUCUUGGUUGAUAGGAAUUAACUCAACUGGGGUGAGCAAGAUGUACAUGAUCUUGGAUUCGGUUAGUUUUUGCUGCAUGUAUGAAAUUGUAC